UACAGAGGUCUCGAGCGUUGUUCGGAUUCAUUGGGCGUAAAGGGUGCGUAGGUGGCGCUGUAAGUCGGGUGUGAAAUCCUGAGGCUUAACCUCGGAACUGCAUUCGAUACUGCGGUGCUUGAGGACUGGAGAGGAGACUGGAAUUCAUGGUGUAGCAGUGAAAUGCGUAGAGAUCAUGAGGAAGACCAGUGGCGAAGGCGGGUCUCUGGACAGUUCCUGACACUGAGGAGCGAAAGCGUGGGGAGCAAACAGG
rnacentral:rRNA from 1 species